CUUGGCUUUUAUAAUGAAAAACCUGAGACUGGGUAAUUUAUAAAGAAAAGAGGCUUAAUUGGGUCACAGUUCUGUGGGCUGUACAGAAAGC